rnacentral:rRNA from 1 species
GACGAACGCUGGCGGCGUGCUUAACACAUGCAAGUCGAACGGUAAGGCCCUUCGGGGUACACGAGUGGCGAACGGGUGAGUAACACGUGGGUGAUCUGCCCUGCACUUCGGGAUAAGCCUGGGAAACUGGGUCUAAUACCGGAUAGAACCACUGCCUGCAUGGGUGGUAGUGGAAAGCCUUUGCGGUGCGGGAUGGGCCCGCGGCCUAUCAGCUUGUUGGUGGGGUGAUGGCCUACCAAGGCGACGACGGGUAGCCGGCCUGAGAGGGUGACCGGCCACACUGGGACUGAGAGACGGCCCAGACUCCUACGGGAGGCAGCAGCGGGGAAUAUUGCACAAUGGGCGCAAGCCUGAUGCAGCGACGCCGCGUGAGGGAUGACGGCCUUCGGGUUGUAAACCUCUUUCAGCACCGACGAAGCGCAAGUGACGGUAGGUGCAGAAGAAGGACCGGCCAACUACGUGCCAGCCGCCGCGGUAACAC